AAGUCGUAACAAGGUCUCCGUUGGUGAACCAGCGGAGGGAUCAUUACUGAGUUUUUGUACUCUACAAACCAUGUGUGAACAUACCCUUCUUCUAUAAGACGAACGCUGCUUUGGUGGUUUUGAGCCCGUUCCUGUUAAAACGGGAAAGGAAGGGGGCAAAGCAUCUAAGCUGCCGGCAGCAUAGUCUUACCACUAAAACUCUUUUAUUUUUUUACUAGAAAUUUGAUUUCAUUGCUGAGUGGCAUAAACUAUAAAAAGUUAAAA
rnacentral:misc_RNA from 1 species